rnacentral:rRNA from 1 species
AGAGUUUAGUCAUGGCUCAGGAUGAACGCUAGCGGCGGGCUUAAUACAUGCAAGUCGAGGGGUAACAGGUUUCUUCGGAAAUGCUGACGACCGGCGCACGGGUGCGUAACGCGUACACAACCUACCUUUAAGAAGGGGAUAGCCUUUGGAAACGAAGAUUAAUACCCUAUGUGAUUGUUUAGUUGCAUGACAUAAUAAUUAAAGUUCAGGCGCUUGAAGAUGGGUGUGCGUCCCAUUAGGUAGUUGGUGAGGUAACGGCUCACCAAGCCGACGAUGGGUAGCUGUUCUGAGAGGAAGAUCAGCCACACGGGCACUGAGACACGGGCCCGACUCCUACGGGAGGCAGCAGUAAGGAAUAUUGGUCAAUGGGGGCAACCCUGAACCAGCCACGCCGCGUGCAGGAUGACUGCCCUAUGGGUUGUAAACUGCUUUUAUAUAGGAAGAACGGCAUUUAUUUAUGAGUGUGUGACGGUACUAUAUGAAUAAGCACCGGCUAACUCCGUGCCAGCAGCCGCGGUAAUACGGAGGGUGCAAGCGUUAUCCGGAAUCACUGGGUUUAAAGGGUCCGCAGGCGGGCUUAUAAGUCAGUGGUGAAAGUCUAAAGCUUAACUUUAGAACUGCCAUUGAUACUGUAAGUCUUGAGU